GACGGAGGAUGCAAGUGUUAUCCGGAAUCACUGGGCGUAAAGCGUCUGUAGGUGGUUCGAAAAGUCCACUGUUAAAAAUUGAAGCUUAACUUCAAAGAUGCCGUGGAAACUUUCAAACUAGAGUGUGGUAGGGGUAGAGGGAAUUUCCAGUGGAGCGGUGAAAUGCGUAGAUAUUGGAAAGACCACCAAUGGCGAAGGCACUCUACUGGGCCAUAACUGACACUAAGAGACGAAAGCUAGGGGAGCAAAUGGG
rnacentral:rRNA from 1 species